CUUGAUAUAAAACAUAUAAAAUGAUGCGAAUUCUUUAAUUAAUAAUAAAGUCUCAACCAGAAAAUGGCGAACAAGACGGCUACUAUCUUUCUUCUCCUGGUGUGUCUAUCAUUAAUUUUGGCAAGUUCAACGAGAUUUAGUCGUUUGAGAGUUUUAGCAAGCAGGCUGCGAGGACGACGUGAUACUGUUGGACCUAAUUUUUCCAGUAACCAACUUGUGGCCGAAGACUCCGCUGUCAACAAUAUAGGACAAGGAUUUAUUUCAAGAUAGUAAACAAAGCCACAUGGAGUCGCAAACAGUAUAUCAGUGUUUUGUCUUCAAUUAGUUUGUCAAAAUAAAAUGACAAUAUAUCCUUAUUACCUUACCUUCUAUUUCUAUAUAUAAUAUCCAAUAAAUAUUUAUUUUUGUUUUAA